rnacentral:miRNA from 1 species
CAAGUCCAGACCUGCUGACUCGUAGUCCAGUGCUUGUGGUGAGGUCUGGAGGCCUGGGCUUGAUCUCCACAGCCUCUGAG